rnacentral:rRNA from 1 species
GAUGAACGCUGGCGGCGUGCCUAAUACAUGCAAGUCGAGCGAACAGACGAGGAGCUUGCUCCUCUGACGUUAGCGGCGGACGGGUGAGUAACACGUGGAUAACCUACCUAUAAGACUGGGAUAACUUCGGGAAACCGGAGCUAAUACCGGAUAAUAUAGUGAACCGCAUGGUUCAAUAGUGAAAGACGGUUUUGCUGUCACUUAUAGAUGGAUCCGCGCCGCAUUAGCUAGUUGGUAAGGUAACGGCUUACCGAGGCAACGAUGCGUAGCCGACCUGAGAGGGUGAUCGGCCACACUGGAACUGAGACACGGUCCAGACUCCUACGGGAGGCAGCAGUAGGGAAUUUUCCGCAAUGGGCGAAAGCCUGACGGAGCAACGCCGCGUGAGUGAUGAAGGUCUUCGGAUCGUAAAACUCUGUUAUUAGGGAAGAACAAAUGUGUAAGUAACUAUGCACGUCUUGACGGUACCUAAUCAGAAAGCCACGGCUAACUACGUG